rnacentral:rRNA from 1 species
AUUGAACGCUGGCGGCGGGCUUAACACAUGCAAGUCGAGCGGGGGAAGGUAGCUUGCUACCGGACCUAGCGGCGGACGGGUGAGUAAUGCUUAGGAAUCUGCCUAUUAGUGGGGGACAACAUCUCGAAAGGGAUGCUAAUACCGCAUACGUCCUACGGGAGAAAGCAGGGGAUCUUCGGACCUUGCGCUAAUAGAUGAGCCUAAGUCGGAUUAGCUAGUUGGUGGGGUAAAGGCCUACCAAGGCGACGAUCUGUAGCGGGUCUGAGAGGAUGAUCAGCCACACUGGGACUGAGACACGGCCCAGACUCCUACGGGAGGCAGCAGUGGGGAAUAUUGGACAAUGGGGGGAACCCUGAUCCAGCCAUGCCGCGUGUGUGAAGAAGGCCUUAUGGUUGUAAAGCACUUUAAGCGAGGAGGAGGCUACUUUAGUUAAUACCUAGAGAUAGUGGACGUUACUCGCAGAAUAAGCACCGGCUAACUCUGUGCCAUCCGCCGCAGUAA